rnacentral:rRNA from 1 species
AACGAACGCUGGCGGCAGGCUUAACACAUGCAAGUCGAACGGUUGUAGCAAUACAGCAGUGGCAGACGGGUGAGUAACACGUGGGAACCUUCCUAGGGGUACGGAACAACGCAGGGAAACUUGCGCUAAUACCGUAUACGUCCGUGAGGAGAAAGAUUUAUCGCCCUUAGACGGGCCCGCGUCGGAUUAGGUAGUUGGUGGGGUAACGGCCUACCAAGCCUACGAUCCGUAGCUGAUCUUAGAGGAUGAUCAGCCACACUGGGACUGAGACACGGCCCAGACUCCUACGGGAGGCAGCAGUGGGGAAUCCUGGACAAUGGGCGCAAGCCUGAUCCAGCCAUGCCGCGUGAGUGAAGAAGGUCUUCGGAUUGUAAAGCUCUUUUGCCAGGGACGAUAAUG